rnacentral:rRNA from 2 species
AGGUCAAGCUACAAAGGGCGCAUGGUGAAUGCCUUGGCACUAGGAGCCGAAGAAGGACGCGAUAAGCUGCGAUAAGCCUUGGGUAGCCGCAAAUAGGCUGAGA